rnacentral:tRNA from 1 species
CAAAGUGUAGCUUAACACAGACAAAGCACCUCCCUUACACUGAGGUUAUACUAGUGCAAGUCCAGUCGCUUUGA